rnacentral:rRNA from 1 species
ACUCCUACGGGAGGCAGCAGUGGGGAAUAUUGCACAAUGGGGGAAACCCUGAUGCAGCCAUGCCGCGUGUGUGAAGAAGGCCUUCGGUUGUAAAGCACUUUCAGUAGGGAGGAAGGUAGUGUAGUUAACACCUGCACUAUUUGUACGUUACCUACAGAAGAAGCACCGGCUAACUCCGUGCCAGCAGCCGCGGUAAUACGGAGGGUGCGAGCGUUAAUCGGAAUUACUGGGCGUAAAGCGCAUGCAGGCGGCCUGUUAAGUCAGAUGUGAAAGCCCGGGGCUUAACCUCGGAAUUGCAUUUGAAACUGGCAGGCUAGAGUCUUGUAGAGGGGUUAGAAUUUC